rnacentral:rRNA from 1 species
AUUGAACGCUGGCGGCAUGCCUAACACAUGCAAGUCGAACGGCAGCACGGGAGCUUGCUCCUGGUGGCGAGUGGCGGACGGGUGAGUAAUGCAUAGGAAUCUGCCCAGUAGCAGGGGACAACUUGGGGGAAACUCAAGCUAAUACCGCAUGCGCCCUACGGGGGAAAGCGGGGGACCUUCGGGCCUCGCACUAUUGGAUGAGCCUAUGUCAGAUUAGCUUGUUGGUGGGGUAACGGCCUACCAAGGCGACGAUCUGUAGCUGGUCUGAGAGGACGAUCAGCCACACUGGGACUGAGACACGGCCCAGACUCCUACGGGAGGCAGCAGUGGGGAAUAUUGCACAAUGGGCGAAAGCCUGAUGCAGCAAUGCCGCGUGUGUGAAGAAGGCCUGCGGGUUGUAAAGCACUUUCAGUAGGAGGAAACAGUAGCCGGUUAAUAUCCGGUUGCCUUGACGUUACCUACAGAAGAAGCACCGGCUAACU